rnacentral:rRNA from 1 species
UACGGGGGGGGCAAGCGUUGUUCGGAAUUACUGGGCGUAAAGGGCGCGUAGGCGGCCAUCUAAGUCAGACGUGAAAUCCCUCGGCUCAACCGAGGAACUGCGUCUGAUACUGGAAGGCUUGAAUCCGGGAGAGGGAUGUGGAAUUCCAGGUGUAGCGGUGAAAUGCGUAGAUAUCUGGAGGAACACCGGUGGCGAAGGCGGCAUCCUGGACCGGUAUUGACGCUGAGGCGCGAAAGCUAGGGGAGCCAAACGGG